ACGAACGCUGGAGGUAUGCCUCAUACAUGCAAGUCGUACGGGGUUUAUUGGAGCUUGCUUCGAUGAACUUAGCGGCGCACGGGUGAGUAACGCGUGGGUAACCUGCCUUUUAGUCUGGGAUAACUCUGGGAAACCAGGACUAAUACCGGAUGACCACAUCGAUCGUAUGUUUGAUGUGUAAAAGCUGCCCUCUGAUUUAAGGUAGCGUUGAGAGAGGGGCCUGCGUCCUAUUAGUUAGUUGGUGUGGUAACGGCGCACCAAGACAUAGAUGGGUAGCCGGCUUGAGAGAGUGAUCGGCCACACUGGAACUGAGACACGGUCCAGACUCCUACGGGAGGCAGCAGUAGGGAAUAUUCCGCAAUGGGGGCAACCCUGACGGAGCAAUACCUCGUGGGUGAAGAAGGCUUUAGGGUCGUAAAUCCCAGUCAGCAGGGAAGAAGGCUUUAUGUGAAAAUAUUGCAUAGAGAUUGACGGUACCUGCAGAGGAAGCCACGGCUAAUUACGUGCCAGCAGCCGCGGUAAUACGUAAGUGGCAAGCGUUAUCCGGAAUUACUGGGCGUAAAGGACACGUAGGCGGUUUUUUAAGUUGGAGGUGAAAUCUCAGGGCUCAACCCUGAGCGUGCCUUCAAAACUAUUGAACUAGAGUAUUGGAGGGGAGAGCGGUAUUCCAGGUGUAGCGGUGAAAUGCGUAGAUAUCUGGGAGAACACCAAUGGCGAAAGCAGCUUUCUGGACAAUAACUGACGCUGAGGCGUGAAAGCGUGGGUAGCGAACAGGAUUAGAUACCCUGGUAGUCCACGCCGUAAACGAUGGGUACUAGUUGUUGGGUGUUGAUCCCCUCUGUGCCGCAGCUAACGUAUUAAGUACCCCGCCUGGGGAGUACGGUCGCAAGAUUAAAACUCAAAGGAAUUGACGGGGGCCCGCACAAGCGGUGGAGUAUGUGGUUUAAUUCGAUGCAACGCGGAGAACCUUACCUAGUCUUGACAUCCGAAAAAGCCCUAGAAAUAGGGAAGUGCUCUCUUUGAGAGAAUUUGGUGACAGGUGCUGCAUGGCUGUCGUCAGCUCGUGUCGUGAGAUGUUGGGUUAAGUCCCGCAACGAGCGCAACCCUCGCCAUUAGUUGCCAGCAUUAAGUUGGGCACUCAAAUGGGACUGCCGGUAUCAAACCGGAGGAAGAAGGCGGGGAUGAAGUCAAGUCCUCAUGGCCUUUAUGACCAGGCCUACACACGCACUACAAUGGCCGGCACAAUGGGCAGCCACUUCGCGAGAAGGAACAAAUCCCUAAAAGCCGGUCUCAGUCCGGAUUGGAGUCUGCAACUCGACUCCAUGAAGUUGGAAUCGCUAGUAAUCGUGGAUCAGCAUGCCGCGGUGAAUACGUUCCCGGGCCUUGUACACACCGCCC
rnacentral:rRNA from 1 species